rnacentral:lncRNA from 1 species
GGGUGGAGGUGGGGCGGUUGGGGUAUGGGGGCGGGGCAAAUACCCCACAAGGAGUUUAAGUUAGGCAGAGCACAACCCUCCACAGCUCCCAUUGGUCAGCAAACGGACAAAGCGCUUGGACAGAAAGCAGAAACAAAGAACAAACAGAAAAGUCCUGAAUGUAGGACAGGUGUGACAAGUCAAGGAAGGACAUGGCACAAGACACACAAGUCCCUCCUGUUGGUCCCUGCUGUAGACGACUACGUGAAAGGGCUUAGGUCCCCGGCUGAGUCUCUGGGAAAGAAUGUUGUCCUUGCCCAGCAAGCCAGCACGUUCCGCUUUCCCUCAAGCAACCAGGCAGAAAGGAUCCCCCAGCAGGAGAGCCCCCACCGCCCGGCUCUACAGCCAGGCCUGGGCACCCAAUAUCUGUGGAGGAUCUACGUCCCAGGAUCACCUCUUCAGCGUCACACUCACCGCUGCACCCCAAAGCCCGCGCAGUUCCGCCAGGUGGAAGAGGAAAAGCUUUCUGCUUCCUCGGCUCACUCCUGUGUGUUCGGACUCACAAGCGGUGUCUUUCUUAGAUGCAGUGUGUCACUUACGCCUGAAGCAAGGGUAGCUCCGACAGAGCCAGGAUGGCAGGGGACCGGAAGGAACAGUGUGAAGCCAGGAACUGGGGCUGCACGUGUCGUCUCCUUGAUCCUCCCAGCAGUCCUGUGCAGGAAGUGUCGUGAUCCUAUUUUGCACCUGAGAAAACAAAGGCUCAGCCCUAAGCAGCUUGUGGCAGGAACUUGCUGCCCUCAUAAAGUGCACUAUUUUGUGGGUUUGUUGUUCAGGCUGGCCUUGAACUCAUACUGCAGCACAGGUGAUGCUCCUGCCUCAGCCUCCUAAGUGCUGGGACUACUGACGUGCAGCACUAUGCUGAUCAUAAAGUGCACUGACUGACUUUUUUAAAUCCCCGAAGGGUCCUUGGAGGCACCUGCAUUGUCCUCACAGAGGACACAGGGACUUGCCCAAGUCAUCUACAAAAGCCAGAAUUCAAAGCCAAGCCCAUGCAGUUCCGAAACACUUCCCCCUGCCUCCAAAUGUCAAUGUUUUCACACUUUGUGGUUGCUUUUAGGCACUGGAAACCUAUGCCUAGGUGUGAUCCAAAUCUUCUCCUCCUGAGAGCCCUGCAUUUGCAGGAAAAUAUUGUGUUUGAGCCUCUACUUGCUGUGUG